CCCAAUGGGUAGACAUUUUCUACAUGAGAUGAGGAGGAAGAAGUGUGUGGUGGUCAAGAGAAGAGCAAACACAAAGGCCAAGUGCUAAGAAUGGGGUACCUUCAGGAGACAAAGUAGGGGCUCUCCUGGGCCAAGACAGCACAGGAGAACACAGUGGUGCAUCGCUGAAUGACAGCCUAGCAAGAAGAAAGCCAGGAUGACACGCUGCCCUGAACCACACAAGAUAACCGUAGCCUCGGAUCUCAAUAUGCAUGUGUGUUCAACAAGGAUGUACUUCUCUCAACAGUAGCUUGUCUUUGCCUGUCCACUGAACCAAAACCAUGUUUUAAAAACUAACAUCAGUGUCAAAAACCUCAACCCUUUAGAGCCCACUUUAUUAAAGUCACAGGCUCUGCUUUAUCAGUCUAAUCCAUCCCUGUAGUCACCAAGAUUUAAUGGAAAGUAAAAAAUAAGCAAGAGGGGAAUGAGUUUUGCUCCACCACAUGUUGGAACGUUGAGAUCUCUUACUAUCUUCUCUGAUAGGGAAGUUACCAUUGGGAUUUCUUUCAUGAAUAGCAGAAGAAAGAUGGGUUUAAUAUGUUUUAUCUGAAAUCUCCAAGACCUGCUGUGGCCAAUCCAAUUGGAAUGAUCUAGGAUGGAGCAAAAAUUUCUCCAAAAGCAUCAGGGGGAAUGAUUAGCCCAGAUUUGCUAAUGAGAAUUCAGUAAGAACAAGAAGCAGAAUCAAGCUGAACUGACUGAAUAAACUGCCUGGUUUUAUAGACA